GGAGACAGUGAACUUUGAGAAUGUAGCUGUGAAGUUCACCCUAGAAGAGUGGAAUUUGUUGUCUCCAUUCCAAAAGAAGCUCUACAGAGAUGUGAUGAGGAAAACAUAUAUGAAUAUUACUGCAGUAGAUAUGAUGAAGACAAUUGUAUAAGAUUUGAACAACAGCAAUAUAAAUGUAAUGAAGAUGUA